rnacentral:rRNA from 1 species
UCCUCCCUCUUUCUUCGUGCUUAACACAUGCAAGUCGAACGGAAAGGCCCUGCUUUUGUGGGGUGCUCGAGUGGCGAAAGGGUGAGUAACACGUGAGUAACCUGCCCUUGACUUUGGGAUAACUUCAGGAAACUGGGGCUAAUACCGGCUCGGAGCUCCUGCUGCAUGGUGGGGGUUGGAAAGUUUCGGCGGUUGGGGAUGGACUCGCGGCUUAUCAGCUUGUUGGUGGGGUAGUGGCUUACCAAGGCUUUGACGGGUAGCCGGCCUGAGAGGGUGACCGGCCACAUUGGGACUGAGAUACGGCCCAGACUCCUACGGGAGGCAGCAGUGGGGAAUAUUGCACAAUGGGCGGAAGCCUGAUGCAGCAACGCCGCGUGCGGGAUGACGGCCUUCGGGUUGUAAACCGCUUUCGCCUGUGACGAAGCGUGAGUGACGGUAAUGGGUAAAGAAGCACCGGCUAACUACGUG